rnacentral:rRNA from 1 species
AUUUGGAGAGGAUGCUUUUGGCGCGGCGCCGUCCGAGUUCCUUGGAACAGGACGCCACAGAGGGUGAGAGCCCCGUACGGACGGACGCCUAGCCUCUACAAAGCUCCUUCGACGAGUCGAGUAGUUUGGGAAUGCUGCUCAAAAUGGGAGGUAAAUUUCUUCUAAAGCUAAAUACCGGCCAGAGACCGAUAGCGCACAAGUAGAGUGAUCGAAAGAUGAAAAGCACUUUGAAAAGAGGGUUAAAAAGUACGUGAAAUUGUUGAAAGGGAAGCGCCUGUGACCAGACUUGCGCCCCGUGGACCACCCGGCGUUCUCGCCGGUGCACUCCGCGGGGCGCAGGCCAGCAUCGGUUUUCCUAGGGGGACAAAGGCCGCGGGAACGUAGCUCCUUCGGGAGUGUUAUAGCCCGCGGCGGCAUGCCCCUGGGGGGACCGAGGACCGCGCUUCGGCAAGGAUGCUGGCGUAAUGGUCACCAGCGACCCGUCUUGAAACACGGACCAAGGAGUCAAGCAUUGGGGCGAGUGUAUGGGUGCCAAACCCGCACGCGAAAUGAAAGUAAACGCAGGUGAGAGCUUCGGCGCAUCAUCGACCGAUCCUGAUGUCUUCGGAUGGAUUUGAGUAAAAGCNUUACCGCUUGGNACCCGAAAGAUGGUGAACUAUGCCUGAAUAGGGUGAAGCCANANGAAACUCUGGUGGANG